AUUGAACGCUGGCGGCAGGCCUAACACAUGCAAGUCGAACGAGUGGCGGACGGGUGAGUAAUGUCUGGGAAACUGCCCGAUGGAGGGGGAUAACUACUGGAAACGGUAGCUAAUACCGCAUACCAUCGGAUGUGCCCAUAUGGGAUUAGCUAGUAGGUGGGGUAACGGCUCACCUAGGCGACGAUCCCUCGCUGGUCUGAGAGGAUGACCAGCCACACGGGAACUGAGACACGGUCCAGACUCUUACGUGAGGCAGCAUUGGCGAAUAUUGGACAAUGGCCGCAAGCCUUAUGCAGCCAUGCCGCGUGGAUGAAGAAGGACUUCGGGUUGUAAAGUACUUUCAGCGAGGAAGCGUUACUCGCAGAAGAAGCACCUGCUAACCACGUGCCAGCAGCCGCGGUAAUUC
rnacentral:rRNA from 1 species